ensembl:lncRNA
CUCUGGGACGGGGCAGGGGCUGUGGGCCCACAGCGAGGCCGGCUGUGCAGCUGGCUCUGAUCAAAGCCUUGCAGCACUCGCCGCGCCCGACAGCCCUGUUUACAUUAACUGGCGGGGAGUGGGUUCGGGUGGCAUUUGCUAACCUGGAUGUCGGUCCCAUCUGCCCGGGUAGCUUUGCUGCCUCCAGCCACAGCCACCUAAAUGCACUGGAAACUCCCUCCCUCUGGAGUGGUUGUUUUGCUAACUCUGACUCCCUGGGAGAUCUCGUUCACAGCAAAGUGUUGUUUCCUUUUUCCUUCUUCUAUAUGGGUGUGUAUGAGUGUGGCAGUGGGAGGCUGCCAAGCACAGGGGGACGUGGUCUUUGCCGAGCAAUUGGGAUAACACCAGCACACGAGAUAGAAGUUCAGGAAGUACUACCCUGCAAAACCCUUCACGCAGCCUUAACGUGAGGAAUGAUCUGCAAUUGGUGGGAAGUCGGGGGACUUACAGCAAGGUGCAGAGCUGAGCUGGAUCUGCUGAUGGAGUCAGUCUCUGGGAGAGACAUUGCACAAAGGGCAGGAUGGGCUGUUUGGGACGUGCCACUUCUGCCCAUUUCAAACGCAGACUUCAUCAGGGCAGCUGGCAGAAGGGAUGGCUCCAGUCCUUCGUGCUCACAGACGGUUUGUUCCGGACCUGGCUCUGGCUGAACCCUGGUGAACUUCCCCCGCAUCCCCUUCCCCGCCGGAGAGCUUGCAGCCAUGAACUUCCCGUGCCUGACCCAAGCAUCUCCGAGAGGUGUGAUCUGAGCUGCAGCCGGAGGAAGGAGAUGGUCGACCCGCCCCUGGCUCCCGCUCAGCCUCCCUAAUCAGUGCAGGAAUGUCUCUGGAUGGCCGUGCAGCAGACAUAUAUUUCAGUGGAGGUGGCAAAGAGUAAGGGGGAAAUGUGGAAUGAUGCAGGAGCUGUAUAAUGGAAUGGAACAAAAUUUCUGGUACAUACGUAUGUUUAUAUAUAACAUCAUGCAGAAAGACCCUAUGCAAGGAGUAUGGAAGAGAGGAUGGAUCUUGCUGCUCAUGCCCCAGACCAGCCUCCUCCUUGUUGCAGACUGUAAUAAGCCAUCGCUGGAGGAUGGUAGAGAGGUUCUUUGAAAAUCUCUCCAAGGUAACUAUUUUUUACAGCUGCGUGGAUGAAAAUUGAUGGAGCUGUUGGAGAGGGUCCAGAGGAGGCCACAAGGAUGGUCAGAGGGCUGCAGCACCUCCCCUACAAAGACAGGCUGAGGGAGCUGGGCUUGUUCUGCCUGGAGAAGAGAAGGCUGAGGGGUGACCUCAUUGCAGCCGUUCAGUACCUAAAGAGAGCCUACAAACAGGAGGGGAGGCAACUCUUGGAAAGGGGAGAUAACAGCAGGACAAGGGGAAAUGGUUUUAAGUUGAAGGAGGGAAGAUUUAGGUUGGAUGUCAGGGGGAAGUUCUUUACUGUGAGAGUGGGGAGGUGCUGAACAGCUGCCCAGAGAGGCUGUGGAUGCCCCGUCCAUCCCUGGAGGUGUUCAAGGCCAGGUUGGAUGGGGCCCUGGGCAGCCUGGGCUGGUAUUACAUGUGCAGGUUGGUGGCCCUGCCUGUGGUGGGGGGUUGGAGAUUCGUGAUCCUUGAGGUCCCUUCCAGCCCAUUCUCUGACAUGAUAUGGUAUGAUAUGAUAUGAAAUGAAAACUGAGGAAGUAGCAUUAAGAGACAUAAUUUCUCCAUCUGCACUAGGAGUGGUGGUAUAGCCAUGAUGUUCUGCGGAUCAUUGGUGAAACACUGGCACAGUCUGCCCAGAGAAACUGUGGAUGCCCCAUCCCUGGAGGUGCACCAGGCUGGGCUGGAUGGGGCCCUGGGCACCCUGAGCUGAUGCCUGUGUAGUGGUUGGCAGUUCUGCCCGUGCAGUGGGCUUGGAACCAAAUGAUCAUUGAGAUCCCUUCCAACCCAAGCCAUCCUAUGAUUCUAGGAUUCUGUGAUAAGAGACAAGAGCUGUAGAGAGAGGUUAUAGAUAGAGAGAUAUCCGUGUGUACAAACAGUGAAAGAAAACCUGCUGAGCUUUGUGAACACAAACCUUUCCUUGUAAUCUAUAUAUGUGAUUAUCUGCUUUGUCAUCUAAAUGUGCAAACACCAUAACUCUUUUAAAUUUAACCCAAAUAAGCCUAAUCCUUAUCUAAGAUGACUGCAUUUGAGAACAGUGAAAAUGUUAACGCUAACAACAUAUUUUUUUGUUCUCUAAAUUCCUGCCCUUAAUUUAAUAUAAUACACUGCUGUUUUAAAGGGAUAUUAAUAUUCUUUUCAAAGUGUUUGAGACUUUUACAUAAUUUAAAAAAUAUUUGCAGCUGUUUUGAAUGUAUCUGCAAGUACUGAUAGACAAAAGGCAUGGAUAUCCAUAAGAACGUUGUCAUAAUACAUUCCAUAUUAACGUAAGCAAAAAAGAAUGUUUGCUCAGGAAUACCAAAAAAGGUGAUUGGAAGACCCACUUCUAUGGCCUUAACAUCUUCCUGCUAAACAAGUUACACUCCUAAUGUUUUUUUUUUUUUCCUGCAUUCUUGCUUAAUUGGUUACUUGCAUCUGCCUUGUGGAAUUAGCAGCUUUUUUGCAUUUGGAUCAUCCGUAGAGCUGAACUUGGGCCAUUUGUUUUAGAUUUCCAGAAAUGAUUUAUUUGUACUGUAAUGGGAUGGAAUCAUACAGUGUUCCCCAUUUGUUUUCAGACUUAGUUCAGAGUACAGUUUAAGCUCCCAUAGUAUAUCUGGGAGUGCUGAUUCCACUCUCAUGUCCAAGGCUCACAAAUCUUUUCUUUCCCGCUGUUUGCACCUUUCUCUCACUGCAUAAAAAUCAAGGUCCCAGGGUCAAUAUUCCAUUAGGGAAAAAAGGGGAGAGAUUAUCGCAGAGGCUGAAAAAUUUUGCUCCUGGCUAAAUCACUGAAGGAUGGUGUGUGUGUGUAAGUAAUGCUGUAAAGAGAGGGCAAAAUGUUCCUCUUGAGUAAAUUCCCUUUCCUCCCCCCCGCCUUGUAUUAAAAGCCCCGAAGGAGGCUGGGAUCUCACUUAGGUGUGGUGCUGUGCAUACAUGCAGCAGGAGAGCCUCUUUGGAAGGGGACAGCCAAUAAAGUCACCCUAUUUCCCCAGUCUCUACUGAUUGGGAUGCUGACUGGAUGUAGGAAAUACCAGACUUGUGAUAACAAUCAUAGAAACCUAGAAAAAUAGGGUGGGUAGGACCUCAUGGAGCUGUCUUGUCAACCCCUCUUCCCACAACAGGACGAGCCAUAAAGAGAGACUUCUGUUCCUUUUCAUCUUCUUUUCUUCCAUUCUUUAAGUUAAAAUAAAUAAUCCAACAACGCUGGAAGGAAGAAAAAAAACAAAAGAAGCAACGAUUUUUUAAGGACAUGCCAAAUAUUGCUUAUGAGUACUGAGGGGCAGUCCUGGGUGCGUGGUGCUUUAUGGCAGUUUUGAUGGGUGGUUGCACUGAUCUGGGCUUGUAAUAAAUGGGCUGUCCCUCUCGCCGCGAUAACAGAACAUGAGAGUAUAAAAACUUUGAAGAGCAGGAGGCAGCUGAAAAGAAAACAAUAAUCUAUGUAUAUGAGACUAGCUUGUUGCUUGGUGAUUAAGAGAUGGGGACCCCGUAGGUCAGCUCCCUGUAGGUACAAACAGAUGUUUGCACUGUUUCACAGCUGCUAAAUAUGAUAUAAAUCCAAAGAAUUUCUCAUGUUUUUAUAAAGGAAAAAAAAAAAAAAAAAAAAAAGAAGAAGAAGAAAAAAAAAGAAAAAAAAAGAAAAAAAAUACCCAGACAGCAAAUUUUUGGUCAUUCAGAUACUCUUACCAAAUGACAUCUGGUUUCUGUACUGCUUAUUUAAGCAAUCCUUAAAAAAAUGUUUGCCAAGGGGAAUAACUCAAACCUUUUAGUUCUUCACCAUAUAUAACUGUACAGUUUAGAUUACAGUGUAGCAUGCAGAGUUUAUUAUAAGCAAUGCAGUUCUUCAUUUCUUAGCUAGCGAGUAUUACUUUAAAGAAAAUAGGAUAAAUAUUAUGUAAUUAGUUCAGGGAAAUUCGUGUAUAGCUGCAUUUCAGAGUACCCUCGUUUCAGAUCCAAAUGAUGACAAAGAAAAUGAAUUGUUUCCAUAUGUUAGGAGAUAGCCUGACAGUUAUGAGCAGAGAGCUAAGGCAUAAAAAUGCAUUGGGGCUCCCAUCGAACGGGAAGAAGCAAAAGCAGUACAUGUAGAAUUGCUAGCUGUGAUGUGAAGGUGCUCUGAAGGUACCAUCAUGACCUACAGAGAAGGAGAAAUGGGUGGUUUCAUGAGAAGGAAGGCAACAGGGCAACACUUGCUUUGAGUUCUGUGCUUUGAUUCUGCUGAUGUCCAAUAAGACAAGAGUUUUGACUGCAGCUUUCAUUACUCCAUGUCUGUUUGGGCAUUCAUGAGGUCUUUUGGGAUUCUCUGAGGUCUAAGAAAGGCUUGUGUCCAUGCCGAUGCCAUUCCUUCAAGGCAAGCAUCAAGAAGCCUGCCGCCCCUACCCGGCCACCUACCGUCACGAAGCACAUGGGAACCUGGUACCCUCAAGACCUCUAUCUUUCUGCCAAAAUUGGUUGAAACUGGCUAAUGAGCUCACAAGUUAUUUUCUUUGGGAUGGAGAGGGGGCAGACAGACGCACUCCUCGGGAACAUAAAUGCCUGCAUCUCAUGUCUGCUGGAAGCCGACACAAAAAUCUCCGUAUUAAGCUUAUCGUAUAAAUUAUAUAUGCAUGUAUUUUACAGAGAAAGAUUUAUUGCCUUCAAUAUCUAGGCAUUUUAUGCUUUUGAAGUCAUGCAUACUUUGAUCCAACAAAUACUUACACUUACAAGUCACUUGGUGUGCUGAGGGUUCAGUGAGGCUGCUUUCCCUGAGUAAAGCAAAGUCCCAAAGAACAGAAGGGUGAUCAAUAGCAGAUGAUCCACGUGCUUUCUCUGUGGUCUCUUCUGUCUUCAGGGCUCUGCUAAUUCAAAGGGUUAUAAAAGCAUUAUACCCUAUAAGGGGUGUAGUGCCCGUUAGAACCUCCGAGUGCUCGUGGCUGGCCUAUUCAACGCUCUCAGCCGGUGUGACUCAGUGACUUCCACCCUUUUUGAAUUGGUGGAUACGCAACUUUUUCCAGUUAUUUUGAAUCUAAUGAGCAUGCUUUUCUUCAUUUCUUUUUCACAGGCCUGCCUAUUAUUCUGUGGAUGAAAAUUCACACGUCCACAGUGACUGUAAUAUUAAAUUCCUGUGUAUCUGUGGUCUUUCUUGAGGUGCCUGAUAGUCAGCAGCUUCCUUCUGUCUCUUUGUCGAGCAAUUCCAGUGCAACAAUUACCAUGAAUCAUCCAUUUUGUAUAUAUCUCAAUGUCUGGCUGGGCUUAUUUUCACAUGAAUGCACGUCCCACAGUACUGCUUGGUAGCUAGGAGCAAAGUGGGGUCAUAUAUUCUGCAGCAAUGACAUGAUUGCAUUUUUGUUUCUUUUUUUUUUCUUUGCUCUCCUUGAUUUGACCUAUCACCACCAUUGUGAGAUGCACUGCAAUAUUUGCCCAUCUGAGGACAGGAAAACCUAGUGCAAAUCCUAGAAAGUGGAAAUUGCCCUACGCAUGGCAGAGUGGAGCAAGCAGCCUCCUCCACCCACCCAUCACAAAGCUGGAGCCUUUCUUUCUAAAGAGAGCCUGACAAGCCAGGAAAUGCCAUGUCCCCUCAUUGCUGGGAUGCUUCCAAUAAAAGAAUUGUGAAACUAUUCCCAUCGGUGGCCUGUCCUCUACCCACAACAGUGACAGAGAAGACUGUUUGAUUUCCAUCAGCAGAAUAAUAUGAGUGUGGACGCCACUGCCACAAAUUUAAGAAGGAUCUCCAGUUGCUGCUUGCCAAAGAAACAGUUUUCUUUCACUGUUCCUGUUUCAGUGCAUGGUCUGGGGGUUUUCAGCCCUCAAGUGGAGAUGCCGCUGGUGUGAUGACAGCUUGAGCAGCAUGAAGCUCCAGAAGAGCUUGAACAGAAAGGGCUGUGUCUGCAAAGAGGUGGGUCAGCUGUGUCUCUGGAGAGCUGCAUGCAGAGCCAGACCCGACCUCUUCUCAGUGAGGUGGAAGCAAAUGUUGGUGCUUUGGGUCUGUCCACAUCUACAAGCAUGCGUGAGGUCCCUUGCUGUGGUUCAGCUGAUGUGGGGCAUCUUGCUCAACAGUUCGAGAGUCUCAGCUUGCAAAUAUUGAAGGAGAUAAAUGGUUAAAAGAAAACUAAAACAACCAUACCCAAAAUAAACAAACCAACCCCAAACAAACAAAUGAAACCUCAAAACAAACAAAGAACUCAAAACAAACAACCAAAACCUUCCCUACCCCCUCUCCCCCCCAAAAAAAUGAAGGAAGGAACAAGGAACCCUGGUGAUCACAGCAGGAUCUGCAAGGCUCACACUGGAGAGGACAGGUAUGACAGGGGCACGUUUAGCACCUGGCUGCUCUUUACAUCACAGGGCAGAAAUAUGAAAAAUAUGAAAUAUGCAGCAGGGUUGGAUGAAAAGGAAAAUGUAAUGAGAGUAGGAGAAAGAAUGCCACAUGCUCCAACCGCAUCUGAACUUGGCAGCAGCAGCCCAGGGAAGCCCAUGUAAAUCCUAGAAGCAUGUUAAAGGCAUUUUCACCCCACAAAGACUGACAUGCAUGAAAAGUAUUGUUUCAACAAUGUCAGUCAAGAGCCUGGAGAAAUAAUUUGCUAAUAUACUGCCUAGAAGCCCAACAUGGCUAAUUGGAGGGAUGUUCACAUCUUGGAAUGGAGACUACUUGGGAACAGUCUUCCAAUGGGGUAACGAAGUGCAAAGAAGUAAAGGCUGUGUGAACAAGAUGGUGUGUCGAUGCUGCAUUUACACAGCAAAGUGAGAGAUUUCCUCAAGGAGCACAGAGAAAACAUGACAGCAGAGAGAAAACACAUGUACAUGAAGCAUAGGCAAUACAACGUAAGGACAGACUGAGGGAUGUUGUAGAGAAAGACAUAACUGAAAACGCUCGGAAUAUUGCCUAUGUCAUGUGCAAAGGAAGUUAUUAUCCAGCAGCACUGUGCCCAGGCAGAGCAAGCAUUCCUUCCAGUAAGGUUUAGGAGAUGAAUCCUCACUUCUGGGGGCAGCGUGGUCAUCCUUUGGGUUUCUUCUUGGCCUGUCCUUUGUGUACUGUAGACACAUCAAGAUCUGCAAAGGCUUAGCUACGCUGCUAUUUUUCCCUUAAAAAAAUAUACUCUCUAAUUUAUUGAAUUACAGGAUACAUAUCAUUUUGCAUUAAAGGGGAUAUAGUGAAAUGCAUUCAUAUUCAAUUUGGCCGUUGCAGCAGAAUCACAGAAUCACAGAAUGGCCCGGGUUGGAAGGGACCUCCAGGAUCAUGAAGCUCCAAACCCAGCAGGAAAUACAACAAUAUCUUCCUAAAAUAAGGCAUUAUAAGUCUCUGUCAGCUCCCUCAAGUUGGCUUAGAAAUAGCUUAUGGACCCAUUUCCCCCAAAGAUCUGUGGAGGAUGGAUGAAUGGGAAGCAUCUGUAGGUGAGGAACUGUGUUACACAGGAAACAUUGCUCUGUCUUUAUGCUCAGCCUUUUUUUUUCUUACAUUGCAGAUCUGAAAAGCCAUAAAGAAAAGUAUAAUUUGCCUGAUUCUUCUGGCUAGCUGGGAGAAUGAAUGAGCCCCACUGGUUCCUGAGGUGCAUUGGCCAUGCUGAUGGCAGGUUUGCUAAAUCUCAGGGGAGGGAUGCAGCUGUGACAGCGGGCAUCCAGGGUCAGGGGGGACACAUUUUGUCUUGGUGGAGCUUCAGCAGGUGGUGGAUUGAACCCAAGCAGGAUACGGAGGUCACAAGUCCAGGAUAACUUGCAAGUCCAACCCAAUCCAUGGGCAGUUCACCAGAGAACCAUGGAAUCCAGCCAUAAAGGCUGGAAAAGGCCUCUAGGAUCCCAAGUCCAACCCCAGCCCACCCCAUCAUGCCCACUAGCCAUGUCCCCCCAGUGCCACAUCUCUUGAUGAGAUCUUCCUGAACACCUCCAGGGAUGGGGACUCCACCACCAUCCUGGGCAGCUUCUUCUAAUAACUCACCACCCUUUGCACUACUUUCCAUUCUGCUUCCAGUAAGAUAGAGACAGAAAGUGGAGCUGAGCCUACUGAAGAACGAAGGACAGCCAACAUGUACUAGGUGCUCAUGCUUGAUGCCUGCAGGCCAGGUAAAUCCAGGGAGCAGUUGUAAAAGGAAGGGAAGUGCAGGGACAGUCGCAGCUGAUUCUCCCACUGGCUGUGGGGAAGGUACUGCACCUCCCUGCAGCUUUUAUUUAUCUCCUAGACUUUCUCUUGCAUGUUUAAAUUGCCGUGGCUUUGAAGGAGGAGCUGUGCUGUGCACUGUCCCAGCACCCACCAGGACGUCUAUUGGGACAGCUGCUCUCCUAUCCGCCCACCAAAUGGCUGAAUUCUCCAGCAAGGACAAAGACCUUAUUUAUGCUCAUGCCUCUCAAAGUACAUAUAUUUUAGUCCUGGAGGAUUUACUGGCAAUAAAGUUUUCUUCUGAGAUUCCUAAAUCACGAGGUACUUAGGCUCU